rnacentral:rRNA from 1 species
CAAUAGCGUAUAUUUAAGUUGUUGCAGUUAAAAAGCUCGUAGUCGGAUUUUGGCUGAGAACGAUCGGUCCGCCGUUAGGUGUGCACUGAUUGGUCUCAGCUUCCUGGUGAGGAGGUGUGCUUCACGGCCACUUAGUCACCGUGGUUACUUUGAAAAAAUUAGAGUGUUCAAAGCGGGCUUACGCUUGAAUAUAUUAGCAUGGAAUAACACCAUAGGACUCCUGUCCUAUUUCGUUGGUCACGGGACGGGAGUAAUGAUUAAGAGGAACAGUUGGGGGCAUUCGUAUUUCAGUGUCAGAGGUGAAAUUCUUGGAUUUAUGAAAGACGAACUUCUGCGAAAGCAUUUGCCAAGGAUGUUUUCAUUGA